rnacentral:lncRNA from 1 species
AGCCACUCCAACCUGGUAGACCGCCCGACUUUAUGAUUUCUACUGGCAGCAGGCUGUGUGGGAAGGACCCGCGAGACCCUCCAGACAUGCAAUGCCUCCUGGAGUGCCAAGAUGCCAGGAAUGUGCUAUCAUGCCUGGCUAAGAUGGGGGUUCCUUCAUCACCAGUCUUAAGCUGGAUCACUGUUCUUGGUUAAAUGAAACUUCAGUGAGGCAUGGUGCUGCCCACCUUUCAUCUGAGCCACUUGGGACACUGAGGCGGGAUUAUUGAAAUAGCCAGACCAGGCUGGAGAAUGGACCAAGACCCAGAUCAACAUAUGGCAAAAUCACUGGGGCUGUGUCUCCAAUUAAAGUAAUUUGUGUAACAUGUGCAAGGCCCUGAAUUCAGUCCAGUACUAAAGCAUAAAAGAAAAAGUGAUAAUAAUCAGUAGAAAAUUUACUUUGAUUUGGAAUUUUAUACUGUUUUCACACCAUCAGUCUUUGGUAUACUUGCUCCUCCAGAUGCUGGGCAGCAGCAGUGAGUCCCUGCUGUCAGUGACAGGACACCAAGUGACAACAUCCAGUGAUCUACAUUGCAGCACAUUCAAUAAACUACAUGGGGUAUUUAAUAUUUUAUCAUGAAAUAAGCUAUGUGUUAUAUGCAUUUUCUCAAAUACAGGUUAGUAUAAGUGUGUUUAUCAGUUUUAAAGGAGGCAAGGCUUAGCAAAGUUUGCUGAUUAUGUAUGUUCAGUGCAUUUUGAAUACAUUAUAGUUUGAACUGCCUGUGGGUUGAUCAAAAUAUUUCCCCUUGAUAACUCAAGCAGAAUGUGUAGACUCAUUUCUUGAACUCUUUGUAAAGUUCUUCUCUGUAGAAUAUGAAGCUUAUCAGAUAGUACC